GGCAGCGCCCCCCCCCCCACAAGGCCCCGUUCCCAUGGCAACGGCGCAGGCCGGGCGGUGGCGCCCCGCCGGAAGUGGCGUAAGGACGCACGGGCCGGAAGUGGAGCCGUGAGGCAGGCGCGGGGAUUCCGAACGGCGGAGCGGGGGGCCCCCCCCUUCGGUGAGGAUGCCCAGGAUCACGCUGAACGGCGUCCCGGUGGAUUUCCCCUUCCAGCCGUACAAGUGCCAGGAGGUGUACAUGACCAAGGUGCUGGAGUGCCUGCAGAAGAAAGUAAAUGGCAUUCUGGAGAGCCCUACGGGCACAGGAAAGACCCUCUGCCUGCUGUGUUCCACCCUGGCCUGGCGGGAGCACUUUAAAGAUACUAUCUCAGCCCGCAAAAUUGCCCAGCGUAUGAAUGGAGUCGAGCUCUUUCCUGACAGGCCCAUGUCAUCCUGGGGUAACGCUACCACGGAUGCUGAUGUUCCAGCUUAUUACACGGACAUUCCUAAAAUAAUUUAUGCAUCCAGAACGCACUCACAACUUACGCAGGUCAUUAAUGAAUUAAAGAACACAGUCUACAGGCCAAAGGUAUGUGUUUUGGGUUCCAGAGAGCAGCUUUGCAUCAAUAGUGAAGUGAAACGACAAGAGAGCAACCACGUGCAGAUCUAUAUGUGCCGAAUGAAAGUGAUGACUCGUUCUUGUCAUUUUUAUAACAACGUAGAAGAAAAGAGUACAGAGAAAGAACUGGUCAACUCAAUCAUGGAUAUUGAAGACUUGAUUAAAAAUGGAAACAAACAUAGAGCUUGUCCUUAUUAUCUCUCUCGAAGCCUGAAGCAGCAGGCGGAUAUUAUUUUUAUGCCUUACAACUAUUUACUAGACUCAAAGAGCCGGAGAGCACACAACUUAGACCUGAAGGGGACCGUGGUAAUACUUGAUGAAGCUCACAAUGUGGAAAAGUUGUGUGAAGAGUCAUCUUCUUUUGACUUGACAGCCUACGAUUUGGCUUCAGCAAUUGAUACUUUAAAUAUACUACUGGAAGAACAAGCCAAAGCAGUUCAGCAGAAAGAAGUAAAUGCUGAGUUCAAUAUGGAAAUGGACAAUUCAGGGCUGAACAUGGAACUUGAAGAUCUAGCAAAGAUAAAAAAAAUUCUUCUUCAGCUGGAAAGUGCUAUUGAUGAAGUGGAGUUGCCACCAAAUAAAAAUGGAGUCACCAAAAAUGGAAGCUACAUCUUUGAUCUGUUUGCGAAGGCCCAAAUAACAUUCCAGACCAAAUCCUCACUCCUGGAGUCACUAGAGCAGAUUUUACAGUUUCUUUCAAGCCGUACUGGGGUAUUUGUCAAUACAUCUGGACUGCAUAAACUUUCAGAUAUUAUCCAGAUAGUAUUCAACAUCGAUCCUCCAGAGGGCACAACAAGUUUUGUGCCACCUCAGUCGAUAUCCAGAUACUAUAAGGUACACAUUCAUCUGGAAAACGGUAAUCAGAAGAAGCAAAAGACAAAUGUCUGGGAUUCAUCAGCUGCAAAAAAACAAGGAAAGACCUUAAGCUAUUGGUGUUUCAGUCCUGGAUAUAGCAUGCAUGAUCUUGUUCGACAAGGAGUCAGGACGAUUAUCCUUACUAGUGGGACUCUCUCUCCACUCUCAUCAUUUACAAUGGAAAUGCAGAUCCCUUUUCCUGUUAGCUUGGAGAAUCCUCAUGUUAUUGAUAAACACCAGCUCUGGGUUGGAAUCAUUCCCAAAGGACCUGAUGGAGCUGUGCUCACUUCUACCUAUGAAAGGAGGUUUUCAGAGGACUAUUUAUCUUCUUUGGGGAAAACAAUUGGUAAUCUUGUGCGAGUUGUACCUCAUGGACUGUUGGUGUUCUUCCCAUCGUAUCCUGUCAUGGAUAAGAGCUUGGAAUAUUGGAGAGAGCAUGAUUUUGCUAAAAGAAUAGAAGAAGUGAAGCCAAUAUUUGUGGAACCCAAGUAUAAAGGAAGCUUUGCAGUGGUAAUGGAUGCAUACUAUGAUAAAAUUGUCUGUCCUAAGUCCAACGGAGCUGCUUUUUUUGCAGUAUGUCGGGGAAAGGCCAGUGAAGGCUUGGACUUCGCAGACAUAAAUGGACGAGGAGUCAUCAUUACUGGGCUUCCAUUUCCUCCUUGUAUGGAGCCCAGAGUUGUUUUAAAGAUGCAGUUCCUGGAUGAAAUGAAAAGAAGCUGUGUGGGUGCACAGUAUUUAUCUGGGCGUGAGUGGUACAAUCAGCAAGCUUCCCGGGCUGUUAAUCAGGCUAUCGGCAGGGUCAUCAGACAUCGCCAGGACUAUGGUGCUAUUUUCCUGUGUGACCACAGGUUCACAACCAGCGAUGUAAGAGGCAAGCUGCCUUCAUGGGUCCGCCCUUAUGUGAAUGUUUAUGACAACUUUGGGCAUGCAGUCAGAAGUGUCUCCACGUUCUUCCGUGUUGCUCAAGAAAUUAUGCCCCCACCCCAGCCACAAUGCCUUUCUGGCUCUGCUGAUUUUCGCAAUGAAAAUGAUCUGGCACCAUCUACUUCAUCAGAGCAGAUCCUCUCCCUGGCAAAAGCCAAAAAUUUGGAUGACCAUGUUCCCAGUUUGAAGAGGAAAAGAAUAGUAAUGCCAGUAAGUGGAGAUGGAGCGUCUAACCUGUGCAUGGAAUAUGAAGAAAAACUGUUCUCACCUAGAAAACAACGUCUUGGGCUCUUGGAUGCCUUGGAGCGCAACGAGAAGAGCAGUGAAGCUGCAGAGGAGGAAUGUGGCUUGCCAGGAGAGGAAGAGGCCCAGCGUCUGUCAACACUCUCCCUACAGUAUGAGAAGAGGUUAACAGAUGAGCAAAAAGGAGGAAGGAAGAAAAUAAAGCUAGUCAGCAAUCCAGAACCUGGUAAGAUAGCAGACCCAACUGAGCCAAAGAAAGCCAGAGCUACGUCGUACAUUGCAACAGUGAAGCAGACCCUAAGCCAACAAAGCUAUGAUCUCUUCUCUAAGGCUCUUCAGCACUACAAGAAGACGGAUGACUUCAAUGCUAUGUUGUCUCAAAUGACUUCCCUUUUUAUUGAGGAUGAAAAAAAACACAUCUUGUUACGAGAAUUUUACCAGUUUGUUCGACCUCAACAUAAAAAACAGUUUGAUGAAGCAUGUUGCAAUCUGACUGGAGUGGGCUGUGGCUACAAACCUGAACACAGCCUCCUGCAGGAAGAGAGAGAGAGACUGGCAAAGAAAAUAGAAGGAAAAAAGAGUCAGCAGAAAACAACAUUCUCAAAGGACACAUACACGCAGCUGAACCCUGGACUCCACUUGAACCAGGGAGGAUUUCACUUGACAACAGGACUGACUAGUGCAGGGGAUAAUGCUGGUCAAGCUCCAAGUAAAGAUCCUGAGAAAGCUUCAGGCUCUAGGAAAGAUCACCUCCAGGUCCUCAGGACUACCUAUCUCAACGAUGUGAAAAAGACUUUGGACAAAAGCACUUUCAGCCAUUUCUAUGAAGCGCUGUUAACUUACAAGAAGACAGACGACUAUGAUGCUAUGAUACCAGUGAUAGCAGCCCUCACCACUGAGAGGCCAGAAGACUUUCAUCUCCUACGAAGGUUUUACAUGUUUGUGCGCCCUCAUCACAAAGAGCAGUUCAAACAGAUGUGUAAAGAUUUGACUGGAACGGUCUGUGGUGGGAAAGAGAAGCAAUUGCAACACACAGUGCAAGGUGAAAGCAGCCCUCCGAGUUUGGAGAAGUGGUGCACCAAGGCAGAAAACAGCCAUGUACAAGAUGCAGCUGUUCCGAAGAGUGAGGUGCCAGAGAAAACUCAGAGAGAGAUUGCCUCCUUCUGCUUUAACCAGGAAGAUAAACUUGAAUUGCCAAAGACUGAAGAAGAUUCAAAAGAAACCAGUAAUGUGAGAGCACCCACGUGCUCUGAAGUUGUACCUCUCUUUCCCCUAGAGAUGGAACCAGAGUGUGGAAGAUACCAGUGCUCUGCCUGCAAAUCUGAGGAUGACGUGCCUUUUAAAUGUCCAUUCUGUGCCUUCACUCGCUGCAAAACAUGUUGGGAGCAGUUCUUAAAGUUUUCUGAGAAAGACUAUCAGCAGCUGCUGCUUCAUGAACAACAUACUGUCCUUCAGAAAAGAUUCCAAUUGUAGCAAGAAUCGUGCCAAGGAUUUUACUAGCAUGCGUUUUUAAUCUUUGCUGCUCAAGACUCAAGCUGGCAGAGGAGCAGAAUGAGAUCCCUGGGGAGUUUGUAGGUUAGAUGAAGAGGUGCCCGCAAUGCCUGAGUGAUGUGAAGAAGAAGCGAUUAACCCAAGCUUUCUUCUGGUUAUAAUCUCACCAACAGAAAGGGCAAGUACUUCUCAGCAGGAAUAAAUGACCGGACUCUGAGUCUGAAGCCGAAAGCAAGCUGGAUGAAGGUUCUUUUAAAUAUGUUUGAUCCCGAAGUCUGGAUUACAGGCUGCGCACCAAGAUGUGUAAUAUUUUCCUACAGUCUGAUCAAGUCUGAAAGUUCUCCAUCUCUCUUACCACUGGCAGAAGACAAAGCAGUAUUGUCCUCUGCUGGAACUAAGAUGGUAAAUAAUGUAUUUUAGCCUGUAAAUUCUAUCGUGUCUUCUCUUAGACCAAAUUUUAUGUCUUGGAGGAGGCUGUCAUCAGUUGGCCCCUUCAGGUAAUACCAAUUCCUGGAAAAAACCUACAAGAGUACUACAGCGGAAUUGAGCUGGCUACAUUACCAGGCCAGAGGCCAGACUACCCAGACUUACCACAGUGGCGUUCCUAGAAGUGAUUCACAUUCUGUUGGUGUUCAUCAGCAGCUGCUGUCUCCCAAUAGCAGAAAAUACAGAAAGGAAGAUUUUGUUUUAAAACAAAUUCCAGUGGUUGGAUAGUCAACAGAGAUGCUCCGCUGUGCCCGCAGUGCACCCAAAGCCCGACUUCCUUCCAUAGUGCUGGAAUUUUUGGAAAUAUGCUUCUACGGAGGUUUUGUUUUAUGCUUAGUACUGAUACUCGUGUCAGGCCUGUGUUAUUUGACCUUUACCUUCCAAGAAGAAAAAUGAACUACCUGGUUUUAAUCUUCAAAAUAAAUUAAGUUGGAUGAGAAAAAAAAUCCUUGAUACUUCCACUCUCUGUGAGUAGUGGGAAUAAGUAGGUAACUUUUUUUAAAAAAUGUAUCAGUAGCUUCUUUUAAUUAAACUAUAAAUAAAACCAUUUUCAUGUC